rnacentral:tRNA from 1 species
GCGGUCGUGGCGGAACAGGUAGACGCGUAGCGUUGAGGUCGCUAUGGAGGAGACUCCGUGGAAGUUCAAGUCUUCUCGACCGUACCA